CGCGUAGGCGGUUUCGGAAGUCAUGGGUGAAAGUCCUCGGCUCAACCGAGGGAUUGCCUGUGAAACCACGGGACUGGAGUGCUGGAGAGGGGAGUGGAAUUCCCAGUGUAGCGGUGAAAUGCGUAGAUAUUGGGAGGAACAUCUGUGGCGAAGGCGGCUUCCUGGACAGACACUGACGCUGAGGCGCGAAAGCCAGGGGAGCAAACAGGAUUAGAUACCCUGGUAGUCC
rnacentral:rRNA from 1 species